UUUCCGUAGGUGAACCUGCGGAAGGAUCAUUACAGAGUUCAUGCCCUUACGGGUAGAUCUCCCACCCUUGAGUAUUUAUACCUUAGUUGCUUUGGCAGGCCGUGGAAACACCAUGGGCUCCGGCUUAUGCGUGCCUGCCAGAGGAAACAAACUCUGUUUUUAGUGAUGUCUGAGUACUAUAUAAUAGUUAAAACUUUCAACAACGGAUCUCUUGGUUCUG
rnacentral:misc_RNA from 1 species